GAUGAACGCUGACAGAAUGCUUAACACAUGCAAGUCGAUGGGGAAGUGGUGCUUGCACCAUGGUAACCAUGGCGGACGGGUGAGUAACACGUAAGGAACUUACCUGCGGGACCGGGAUAACAGCAGGAAACUGCUGACAAGACCGGAUAAGGUCAUUAAGCUGCAUAGCUUAGUGAUGAAAGGAGACGCCUGCGGAGAGCCUUGCGUCCUAUUAGCUAGUUGGAGGGGUAACGGCUCACCAAGGCGAAGAUAGGUAGCCGGCCUGAGAGGGUGGACGGCCACAAGGGGACUGAGAUACGGCACUUACUCAUACGGGAGGAAGCAGUGGGGAAUAUUGGACAAUGGGGGCAACCCUGAUCCAGCAAUUCUGUGUGCAAGAAGAAGGUUUUAGGAUUGUAAAGUGCUUUCAGCAGGGAAGAAGGAAGUGACGGUACCUGCAGAAGAAGCGACGGCUAACUACGUG
rnacentral:rRNA from 1 species